rnacentral:rRNA from 1 species
CCAAUAGCGUAUAUUAAAGUUGUUGCAGUUAAAAAGCUCGUAGUUGAAUUUCGGGACCAAUAUGUCGGUCGUGCUUCGGUACGUACUUGCAUUAUUGGUUUCUCACUUCUGAAGAACCAUGAUGUCAUUAAUUUGGUGUCUUGGGGAAUCAGGACUGUUACUUUGAAAAAAUUAGAGUGUUUAAAGCCGGCUUACGCUUGAAUACCUUAGCAUGGAAUAAUGAAAUAGGAUGUUUGAUUCUAUUUUGUUGGUUUCUAGGAUCGACGUAAUGAUUAAUAGGGAUAGUUGGGGGCAUUAGUAUUCAAUUGUCAGAGGUGAAAUUCUUGGAUUUAUUGAAGACUAACUACUGCGAAAGCAUUUGCCAAGGAUGUUUUCAUUAAUCAAGAACGAAAGUUAGGGGAUCGAAGACGAUCAGAUACCGUCGUAGUCUUAACCAUAAACUAUGCCGACUAGGGAUCGGAUGAUGUUAUUUUUGAUGACUCAUUCGGCGCCUUACG